rnacentral:rRNA from 1 species
GGGACACGUGAAACCCUGUGGGAAGCAGGAGGGACCACCCUCCAAGGCUAAAUACUACCUAGUGACCGAUAGCGUAUAGUACCGUGAGGGAAAGGUGAAAAGAACCCCGGGAGGGGAGUGAAAUAGAACCUGAAACCCUGCACUUACAAGCUGUGGAAGCACAUUUCUUGUGUGACCGCGUACUUUUUGUAGAACGGGCCAACGAGUUACGUUAAGUAGCAAGGUUAAGCACUUAAGGUGCGGAGCCGUAGCGAAAGCGAGUUUUAACUGAGCGUUCAGUUACUUGACGUAGACCCGAAACCGGGCGACCUACCCAUGAGCAGGAUGAAGCGAAAGUAAAAUUUCGUGGAGGUCCGAACCCACGAGCGUUGAAAAGCUCGGGGAUGACUUGUGGGUAGCGGUGAAAUUCCAAUCGAGCCCGGAGAUAGCUGGUUCUCCCCGAAAUAGCUUUAGGGCUAGCCUCAAGGUGAGAGAUACGGAGGUAGAGCACUGAAUGUCCUAGGGGGUAUUGCACCUACCGAAGACUAUCAAACUCCGAAUGCCGUCAUCUUAUACUUGGGAGUCAGACUGUGGGUGAUAAGAUUCAUAGUCGAAAGGGCAACAGCCCAGAUCGUCAGCUAAGGUCCCUAAAUGUAAGUUAAGUGGUAAAGGAUGUGGGAUUGCACAGACAACCAGGAUGUUGGCUUAGAAGCAGCCACUCAUUCAAAGAGUGCGUAAUAGCUCACUGGUCGAGUGAUCCUGCGCCGAAGAUUUCCGGGGCUAAAACUUACUACCGAAGCUACGGCAUCAGUAAUGAUGGGUAGGGGAGCUUCCCAUACGGGUUGAAGCAUGACCGUAAGGACAUGUGGACAGUAUGGGAGUGAGAAUGUUGGCAUGAGUAGCGAGAUGUGGGUGAGAAUCCCACAGGCCGUAAACCCAAGGUUUCCAGGGGAAGGUUCGUCCGCCCUGGGUUAGUCGGGACCUAAGCUGAGGCCGAAAGGCGUAGGUGAUGGACAACAGGUUGAUAUUCCUGUACUACCGAUAACCGUUUGAGAGAAGGGAUGACACAGUAGGAUAAGCUAAGCACACUGUUGGUUAUGUGUGCCCAAGCAUUGAGGCAGUCAAAGUAGGCAAAUCCGCUUUGAUAAUGCUGGGAUGUGAUGGGGAGCGAAAUUUAGUAGCGAAGUAGCUGAUUUCACACUGUCAAGAAAAGUCUCUAUCGAGGUUAAAGGUACCCGUACCGCAAACCGACACAGGUGGGUGAGGAGAGUAUCCUAAGGCCAGCGAGAGAACUGUUGUUAAGGAACUCGGCAAAAUGACCCCGUAACUUAGGGAUAAGGGGUGCCACCAUCAGGUGGCCGCAGAGAAUAGGCCCAAGCGACUGUUUACCAAAAACAUAGGUUUCUGCUAAGUCGCAAGACGAUGUAUAGGAGCUGACGCCUGCCCGGUGCUGGAAGGUUAAGGGGAUCUGUUAGAGCAAUCGAAGCAGUGAACUUAAGCCCCAGUAAACGGCGGCCGUAACUAUAACGGUCCUAAGGUAGCGAAAUUCCUUGUCGGGUAAGUUCCGACCCGCACGAAAGGCGUAACGAUUUGGGCACUGUCUCAACAACAGACUCGGUGAAAUUGUAAUUCCGGUGAAGAUGCCGGAUACCUGCGACAGGACGGAAAGACCCCAUGGAGCUUUACUGUAGCUUGACAUUGGGUCUUGGUACUACAU